GAUCAUCGGAGCGUAAUUUCAGCAUAAUAAGUAUGUUCAUCAAAUGUAUUUGUGAUCUACUUAGUUGAAAGAAUUGGGUUAAGGAACCCAGCAGGAUUGUGAUGAUCAAAGCGGAAGACAUGAAUGACGCUAGACAACAAGUUAUUAAAAUGUUUCAUAUACCCAAAGUCUUUUAUUGAUGCUGGAUGAGUGACGAUUAAAAGAAUGCUAUGAAGUAUUGACAUUCUCUUGAAGUUACCUUAAUGUUAUGUGAGUAUACAUAGGCCGAUAUGGUAAGUAUGAUUCAAAGGUAAGUCUAAAUGCUUAUUCUGAAAAAUACAUUAAUUAAUAGGCAUUACGUCUUGCUCUCCGAAUUAUCCGGUUUCAAAAAUGACGGAGGAUUUUCGAUUUUUGCUUUUAUUUUGUGUUUCAAAUGACGUCGAUAUUACAUCGAUUGCGCGUUCUGUCGCUUCGAAGACGGCGCAAUAUCGAUUCCAACUCCCCCUCAUUUGAAGCCACGGCAAAUAAUCGAUUARACUUCCAACCAUCUUUGAAACGUCGACAUAUUGUUCACAUAUCUUUCUCUCUAAUGUCGUUGUGUGGAAACGACUUUUACUUGAGAAAUUACUUUACAUGUCACGCUAUCAGCAGAGAUUGCUGGUAGACAAUGUAAAAUCUGGCCUGGUACUAAAAAUAAAUAAAAAAAGUUCCAUUUAAACUCAAUUGUUCUUUUUGCUUGUAUUCUGCAGUCACUGAGUGCCUAUGUGUAUCAUAAAGGCAUUUUCUAUUUCGCUGSUGGUUUUGAGAUCUCACUUAUAUUUCUGUCAAUUUAUGGGACAAAAUGAUGAACUGUAUACAUUGACAUAUUCGCUUGUGCAUUAUAUAUUCUUAGUCACAUAUGAUGUCAGUAAAGUGAAAACUAUAGAGGCAAAAGAAGGAGACACCAUAUGGGGCGAAAUCGAGUUCAAAGGAGGUGAUUUGCCAAAGGCAACUACAAAGUGGCAAAAGGAGAGCAAUUCCUCAUUUCAAGGAUCAGGGACMCUAAAGAUCGAAAAMUUGUCAAAACACCAUGCUGGAAAAUACAUCUUCAGGGUUAUAGAUGCUGGUAGUGYAUUGGUUAGAGCUACCUACACGAUAAAUAUCUGGGUUGAAAUUUCCUUGUCACUGGAAUUUGAAAUAAAAAUUCGAAACUGGAUAUACACAGAACAACUAAAGAACAGAUCAUCCACUGAGUACAAAGAAUUUGAGAGGCAUUUUCAUAAAGAGGUAUCUAUAGUAAAUUCAUAUACUAGACUUUGCGGACAUCACUAAUCCAGUCUGUUUCCUUAUCUUAUCAUAAUAGAAAGGCACACAAUUAUUUAUAAAAUGUCGAAAGUUUUCGAAAUAUG